rnacentral:piRNA from 1 species
UGGGUCGGAAUGGCACCCUUUAGCCAAUGC